rnacentral:rRNA from 1 species
UACGUAGGGGGCGAGCGUUGUCCGGAGUUACUGGGCGUAAAGAGCUCGUAGGCGGUUCGUCACGUCGGCUGUGAAAUCCCGAGGCUCAACCUCGGGUCUGCAGUCGAUACGGGCGGACUUGAGUACUGCAGGGGAGACUGGAAUUCCUGGUGUAGCGGUGAAAUGCGCAGAUAUCAGGAGGAACACCGGUGGCGAAGGCGGGUCUCUGGGCAGUAACUGACGCUGAGGAGCGAAAGCGUGGGGAGCGAACAGG